rnacentral:rRNA from 1 species
UACAGAGGUCUCAAGCGUUGUUCGGAUUCAUUGGGCGUAAAGGGUGCGUAGGUGGCGCGCUAAGUCAGGUGUGAAAUUUCGGAGCUUAACUCCGAAACUGCAUUCGAUACUGGCGUGCUUGAGGACUGGAGAGGAGACUGGAAUUCAUGGUGUAGCAGUGAAAUGCGUAGAGAUCAUGAGGAAGACCAGUGGCGAAGGCGGGUCUCUGGACAGUUCCUGACAGCUGAGGCACACGAAGGCCAGGGGAGCAAACGGG